GUCCCUUCCAACCCUAACUACUCUGUGACCAGGGUCUGUGCUCUCUGCUGCUCCACCACACUGGGAACAGUGCCAGAAAGCAUUUGAAUAAGCAGCCAAAUUAAUCUGAAAUACUUAAUCAGGUAUUCACAGAAGCACAGAAUUAUUUAUGUUAAUAGGGUCCUCUUGUGAUCAUCUUGUCCCACUCUGCUACAGCACAAGAACUCAUGCAAUGAGUGGUGGCCUGGCAGCAGGAUGAGCUUUGAAACAGCCUGCAGUUUCAGAAGGGCUAGAAAUACACAAGUGACUUUAUUGUUCCCAUCCUGUUAGUAGCUCCUCUUGGAAAAUGGCUCAGAGUAAAGUCAUUUUAUUUUACUCUAAUGAGUGAAAUAAAACUAGAGAAAUAUAAAACAGAGAUAUAAAGUGGCUGGUGAGAUGCAUCAUGUUCAUAACCAUGUGUAGCGAAUGAAUGUUUUAGGUUGCUUAAAGAAUCACAGCAAAGAUAUCAGCAAAAGCAGGGUUAAUAUAAAAGUGAAAGCGCAACAAAGUUCACUGGCAAGGUUCACUCUACUGCUUACUAGAUGGUUAAAGCGCACAGAGAAAAAGCAAACUAAAAUCUGAAAUCAAUCAAUCUAAAACCAAAAUCAACCCAAAAAUUAUUUACAUGGAGGCUGAGGGGAGUGUGGGAAGUGUAAGGAUAGGAAAGGCAGGGUGUGGGGUGGGGGGAAGCGUAUGGAUAGGAAAUGGUAAGGAUAAAAAGGAAUUAGGGAGACCCUCCCACUGAGUCACAAGGUUCAGAGUGGACUCCCUUGCCAAACUUAGGCCCUGACUUGACCAACAGUUUAGGCCUAAAGGUUCAACAGCACUUAACAGUAUUUAAUGAGUAGCUUAAUUUAAACAAUUUAGCAACAGAGUCAUAUAGAAUUUACUAUAACACAACAGUAACUCACUUAUAAACCUUAGUUACAAAUCUAAUGUACUUAAGAAUCUAAGAGAGCAACCUUCAUAGUACAUUUGCUACAGCAUAUUCACAUUCGCAUGCACACAGACCUAAAGAGUAUGUACAAAGUACAUACCUGUGAAAAAUUCUCCUCAAAUUCAGUGAAGGACUUGUGUAGGAUAGCUUUGUAUCAGCCCAGACUCUGUCCUCGGCGUUUGGUGGCGGUCCUUUGAAUAUUGCAAACUUGAGAGUCCACUAGGUCUGAGGAUAGUCCCACUCAGAGAAAGAUUGUUGGUUGCAACCUGCUGUGGUCCAGGAGAGCUCAGAGGAUCUCACUAAGGACCACUGUAUAGAAUCACAAGAGAGUUGGCUUUAGUCAUAGUAAUUUUUCAUCCUGGCCACAAUUUGGGUCAGUAACUUUCUUGGGAAGUUUGAUAACAAAAAUGUUGUUCCACUUGGGUUGUUUUUCAGGCAAGAGAAGUUCCCAAGGCUGUUUGUUAAAAAUCAGAAGCUCAUUAGACAGCUUAAGUUCCUGGGAGUAGACAGCGUUUCUGAUAAGCUCAAGAGGGGCUUAGCCCAGGUGCUGUUCGUUGAGGCUGAGGCCUCAUGAGCAUUUUUGAGAUCACGGUGCAGCCGGAGGAGGAGGAAGAGGAGAGGGAAUGCACUACCACACCAUAACCACCUGGCACUCCAAGUUUUAAAGUGCUAUCACCUUCACUGAAUUUUCCCAGCAGGCAUUAGGUUAAAUUCAACAUGAAACAUGAAUUUCCUGGGAUUGUUCAUUGUCAGCUGCCUCCUGCUAAGGAUUUUUACAUUUAAUUAGAGGACAUGUUUCAUACCUGUCGUGCAAGGUGAACACCUGCUGCCUCUGGCUGCCCAUACCUCUAAGGUUGCUGAUGUUCAGUAUUUGUUCUUUUUUUAGUGUCUAAAGCUACCUGAGAAAUCAAGGCCACUUCCUCCCAGUCAGAUAAUAAAAAACAUAGUCCUUGCCCCAGAGAGCUUAUGAAGCAAAAACGUUAGCGAGAGAAUAAAGAGGGUUUUUUCCCUGUUCCUGCUGACUGAGUUUGCUGAAAUGAUAUCCUGCUGUGAUACACACAGGAGGAGCAAGGAGCAUAAAGCACAUAUGUGGCUCUAGCGCAUAUAAAUGCUUUACUGUGGGCAACCCCAGGAGUGACCCUGACCUUCAGCACUGUCUCUGAGUACAACAGGAUAUUCACCAUUAGCCACUUAUGUGCUUAUCAGCAAAUAGAGAUGCUGAUCUGUGACAUAUAAAAAUGCUAUACUGCAGAUUUUGAAAAGAGGUGGCCCCCUUCAGCUUGUGAUAAAUCCUGUUCGGAAGCAAUGCAUAGCCUCAAAGGAGGAAACUGAAGAAUGGAAAAAGACAAGCAUUCCUCCACAGCCCGUACAGCCCAAGAGAUUAAGCCAUGACCAUCUGCAGCACCAGAACAGAGAACACCACACAGAUAUGUGGGCCUCCAAGGAGCCAGCCAAAAUCUGCACAGGCCCCAGAAAAAUAUAGUACUCUAGUGUUUCAUGUGAGCAACUACACCCUGCCAGCGCGCUGCAGAGCACAGUGCGGACACUGGAGUGCAUCAGCUGUGUCGGAUGUGAGCUCUGUGGGUGCAAGGUGCCCCGCACAGCUCGGCGGUGUGCCAGCACAUCCUCCCGUACCUCUGCUCACAGGAUUUUCCCACCACCCUGAGCGCCUGAGCUCCACAUUCCAGCUACCCGCUGACAAUGUCUCUGUUCUUGGGAAGCUGUAAUUCGCGGCUCUUGCCAGCAUGUGGCACAAGAGACGGAGCAGGCUGCCCGCACUGCCGAGACUAAAACCGACCGACUUUUUAAAACGUCUGGCCAGUCGCUGCCGAGUCUGUGCUCCGACGCCGUCAGCAGUGUAUUCCAUCAGGAGCAAAGGUUCUCCAGGUUUCUUAUGGCACAGUAGUGAUGUUUCUUUACACACACACACACACAACACGAUUACAUAUGGAUCAGACCGUGACUAGAUAAUAGAAAGCACAAGGAAAAAGGUACUGAAAUGCCAUCUCUUUUGCAAGCAAGAGAGUGAGAGGAACUCCUGCUCGUGUCAGUAAUUAUCAAAAGUCAGAAUCUCAUGCACAGAAAUGGUGCCCUUCCAGCAAUUAAACCGUGAACAGUUAGUGACAUAUUGAAUAAGGGCUCUCAAAUGUAUAAAUGCAUUGAUACAGCUGGGCAUGCAAACUAGCAGGGCACUAAGCAAAGCAGAUGCUGAAAAAGCUCUAUUUAGUGAGCCAGAAUUAACUUGAUCUCAUUGUUUUUAUGCAUCUUCCACAGAUGAACAGAUUGAUUACACUCAAAUACCUUCCUUUUUAAGUGAUUCCACUUAUUCCAGUUCUUUGCUGAUGCCUGUUUCUCAUCGAUUUUACUUGGCUACAGUCACUAGGGAGCUAGAUGCUUCAUGGUCACCAGCUCUGUAAUAAAGAUGAGGGAAUUAUAUCUCACACUGGCAGACUUUUAUGGCCCUGAACUACUGCAUUAUAGGACAUCACCAGAUUUUCAUACUUCUAAGUCCAUCUUCAUGUGCUUGGGCACAACAGUUCAGCAUGACUCAGUAGCAUACAAGAGCAUGGACUGAGCUAAGGACUGUUGUUGUAACCUCUGUAACCUUGAAUCACAGCACGGCUUUGCUCCAUCUGCAUGAUAUGAUUUCUAAUCUUAGGAACAAAGCCAGCCAUGCAGAAGUCCUGAAGACAAAGAGCUGGAUCAGCAGGGAAUUGGGAAAAUGGAUGGAAGGGCAGAUGAAGAUGAACCAAAUACUAAUGCUAGCAGUUACAAGAGUUCUGAGAGGCUGCUGUACCUGCCCCCCCAGCUCUCAUUAUUUAAUAGGUCUGGAAACCCCCACUGUUUCAAUCUGCCAUUCUGGAUUAUUUCUCACCAAACUACAGACAACUGCAUUCACAUGCCUGUGCUUAAACCUUUUAUGUCUCACUGGCACCUGCAUUCAGAGAUAUUUCAGCACUGAAUUUACUCUUGCCUUAGUGUCUGUCUCCUAGAAAAGACAAGACCACAGCAUAUCAGGAGAGAUGACAGUUAUUAUCAGCCUGUUGUAUACAGUGCCAGGGCUGACAUGAAGAUUAUUCUGGCCUUGGGGAGCAAAGGGAGGUGAGGUAUUUUGAAAGAGAGCUACAAGAAUGAAGAUAAAAAUCACAUAAAGUUUUCCUAUCUCCUUCUGGCUUUGUUCCUCUGUAUUUCCACUCAGCUGAAAUGUUGUAACUAUAUGCCAGGCUUGGCAAAACGACAGGAGCAAGAAGAAAGUAAGAAUAUGCUCAAGGAAAGAGACGUUCAAAACUCCCCUCUGAACUCGUAGAGCUGAGAGAAAGGCAACUGGCACCAGGGUAAUGUUUCCUUGUAACACAAUGCCAUCUGCUGGGACUUGCUAUAGCAGAUGAGGCAGUGAAAAUGAACUUGGGAUAAACAAGUCCAAUAAGGCUAGAAAACGCAUGCUGCCAUGUCAACACAGACUGAUCACAUUUGCAGUUAGCAACAAGCUAAGAAUGCAAGGACAACGGGAAAGAAAAAACCCAAUUUGGCUAAGAAUUCAUGUUGUGUAGAUGAGUUCCAAGGUACAGAGAUUUGAUCUGUCUGUGUGAAGGGAUUUAAAAUGGAGUGGAAAAAUAAUGUUGGGGGGGGCUCAUAAAACCUUUGGGAGAUGAGAGAGGAAUGAGCUACAGUAUUUGCAGUCAAAAUUAAGAUUUGGAUAGGUUAAAAUAGGUGUAUGUGUUUAAAGCCCAUCAAGGUGGGCUUUCCAGAGUAGAUUUUAGUUGUAUCUCUAUACAACUUGCUGGUGUGUGCAUGGGCCGUGCUUCUGGGUUGCAGCCUUUGCCCUUCCCCACUGCCUCUGCCAUCAUGGGCUAUGAGACCUUUGCAGUGAGUCAGUAAGUAAGAUCCCUAAAGCAUCAAGCUGCAGCAUAUCAGAAUGCAUGUUUUCUCUCCUGGCUUUUUAAAAUGUUAUGAGUUGCUUUGUAAUUCAGUCAUGGUUUUCUCAUCCUGUGAGCUUAUGUACAACUCAGAUUUUUUAAAAGGUAGUUUUCAGCCUGCAUUCAGUGAGCAUUUGACUGGUAACGAACUUUUACUGGGUGCCAUACAGCAACUUUACUUAAAUACACCUUUAGCCCAAAAUACCAGUUACACGUGUACCUAAUGUUAGGAGGGUGUCUGAAAUGCCAUUAUAGGAAAUGCAAUAAGACUUCACAAGAUGAGGAUGAAAGGCAUCUGUACAGUAUUUACUAGGACUGACCACAGUAAUAACAUGGGAAAUGGAGAACAGUCCAUCUUCACUGGAUUGCAGAAACAAGAGAAUAUGCUAAUAAUCCAAGUUGUUCCUGCUUCAUAAAUGGUGUUAUAUUUGUGUUUUCGGUCUGUUUUAAAAUACUGAAAGCAGAAUGUGUGUUUUGAGAAACUGAUUCAUAGGGGAAGAAAAGUUUUUAAAUGGGAAGAGGCCUAAAGCUCAGUCUUCAUCCAGGUUCCCAAAGGAAUGAUCUGUUAACAAAUAUAUCAGCUGUGGAUUGCUCAUCUACAAAGGGGUGUUAUUUCAGGCUUUUGGAUACUAACUAGAAUUUCUUGAGAUGUGGUUACGUACCGAUAUAUGCAGCUCCAUCGGUCACCAUAUAUUUGUUACGAUUUAAUUUGGGAAGGGAAGCGUUCUUCUGUUCUUUAAGAAAGCAUGCACUCUCUUCCUCAAGGUCAAAGAAUUUCUGCCAUAAAAUAGAAUGGAGCACAGGUUAAUGAGCAUUGCUCUAUAAGAGACAGAAAAAGCAUGGCUUGUUCUCUAAUUUUUACUGAAAAUGAGUUAGUGCUACAGAACAGCUUGAGUUUUUAUAGCCAACCGUUAAUUUUAUAAAACACUGCACACUGUAUUUCUUAGUAAAUUCUCACAGGUUAUGAUACUCUUGUCUUGGCAGUCUAAACUACAAAAAGUAUAUGGCUACUGCAUGCCAAAAGAAAUACAGAGCCAGGUAAUAAAGGCAGUGAAAUGAACAAAAAACCCCCAUCUUUGUGUUCUGCAUGGAG